UACGUAGGGUGCAAGCGUUAAUCGGAAUUACUGGGCGUAAAGCGUGCGCAGGCGGUGAUGUGAGACAGGUGUGAAAUCCCCGGGCUUAACCUGGGAACUGCAUUUGUGACUGCACCGCUGGAGUGCGGCAGAGGGGGAUGGAAUUCCGCGUGUAGCAGUGAAAUGCGUAGAUAUGCGGAGGAACACCGAUGGCGAAGGCAAUCCCCUGGGCCUGCACUGACGCUGAGGCACGAAAGCGUGGGGAGCAAACAGG
rnacentral:rRNA from 1 species